rnacentral:sRNA from 1 species
UCAGUUCCCACGUGUCCUGGGUGCAAUU